UACGAAGGGGCUAGCGUUGCUCGGAAUCACUGGGCGUAAAGCGCACGUAGGCGGAUUGUUAAGUCGGGGGUGAAAUCCUGGAGCUCAACUCCAGAACUGCCUUCGAUACUGGCGAUCUCGAGUUCGGGAGAGGUGAGUGGAACUGCGAGUGUAGAGGUGAAAUUCGUAGAUAUUCGCAAGAACACCAGUGGCGAAGGCGGACUCGCUGGGCCACACCGUGACGCUGAGACGCGAAAAGCUAGGGGAGCGAACGAGGAACUUGAUAAAGAACCCCCUG
rnacentral:rRNA from 1 species